CGGGACGGGUGAGUAAUGUCUGGGAAACUGCCUGAUGGCGGGGGAUAACUACUGGAAACGGUAGCUAAUACCGCAUAAUGUCUGCGGACCAAAGCGGGGGGACCUCCGGGCCUCGCGCCAUCAGAUGAACCCAUAUGGGAUUAGCUAGUAGGUAAGGUAACGGCUUACCUAGGCGACGAUCCCUAGCUGGUCUGAGAGGAUGAUCAGCCACACUGGGACUGAGACACGGCCCAG
rnacentral:rRNA from 1 species